rnacentral:rRNA from 1 species
GAUUGUGGCCAUACCACCCCGAACACGCUUGUUCAGGGUUGGGCCUGGUUAGUAUUGGCAUGGGAGAAAGCCUGGGAAUACCAGAUGCCGUAAGCA